rnacentral:sRNA from 1 species
CAUUAACGCAUCUCAUCGGGGUUUCGGUGGCCCUGCUCCGGUUCAGGCCGUGCAGAGCGGGCCCCGUUCCCUGAAAAACCACAAACCCACCGUGCACCUUUCGUGGCAGAGGGUGCGGCGCGAGCCUAGCCCAAAGCUGCGGUCUCACAGACACUGUAAUCGAACGUCGAGCGGACAAUGUUCCGCCCAUGAACUUGACAACUUUCAACAACGGAUCUCUUGGCUCUCGCAUCGAUGAAGAACGCAGCGAAAUGCGAUAAGUAAUGUGAAUUGCAGAAUUCAGUGAAUCAUCGAAUCUUUGAACGCACCUUGCGCUCCUUGGUAUUCCGAGGAGCAUGCCUGUUUGAGUGUCUUGAAAUCAUCAAACCCCUGCACUUUUGUGCUGGGUUUGGAGCCUGGGGGCCUGCUGCCGAAGAGGUGGCUCCCCUCAAAUGCAUCGGUUGGGCCUAGGGGGUCGAACUUGACUGGGCGUUGUACCAUCCUCGCUCUAGUGGACAGACCCCGUGCCCGAGCCAGACCGCCCGCGGGGUGGCGGUCAGACAUGUAACUUGAAAUCUGACCUCAAAUCAGGUAGGACUACCCGCUGAACUUAAGCAUAU